CGGAGGAUCCAAGCGUUAUCCGGAAUCAUUGGGUUUAAAGGGUCCGUAGGCGGUUUUAUAAGUCAGUGGUGAAAUCCGGCAGCUCAACUGUCGAACGGCCAUUGAUACUGUAGAACUUGAAUUAUUGUGAAGUAACUAGAAUAUGUAGUGUAGCGGUGAAAUGCUUAGAUAUUACAUGGAAUACCGAUUGCGAAGGCAGGUUACUAACAAUAUAUUGACGCUGAUGGACGAAAGCGUGGGGAGCGAACAGGAUU
rnacentral:rRNA from 1 species